rnacentral:rRNA from 1 species
UAGGGAAUCUUGCGCAAUGGGGGAAACCCUGACGCAGCAACGCCGCGUGUGGGAUGACGGCUUUCGGGUUGUAAACCACUUUCAGUGAUGACGAAAAUGACGGUAAUCACAGAAGAAGGUCCGGCCAACUACGUGCCAGCAGCCGCGGUAACACGUAGGGACCGAGCGUUGUCCGGAUUUAUUGGGCGUAAAGAGCUCGUAGGCGGUUCUGUAAGUCGGAUGUGAAAACUCAGGGCUCAACCCUGAGACGCCAUCUGAUACUGCAGUGACUAGAGUCCGGUAGAGGAAGAUGGAAUUCCUGGUGUAGCGGUGGAAUGCGCAGAUAUCAGGAGGAACACCAAUGGCGAAGGCAGUCUUCUGGGCCGGUACUGACGCUGAGGAGCGAAAGCAUGGGGAGCAAACAGGAUUAGAUACCCCCGUAGUCC